GGAUGGUACAAAGCCCGGCGCGGCGGCUGGCAGGCAGCGGCCGCUUCUGUUCCCCGGCGCCCUGCGGGAGGUCAUUGCACAAGAGGGGCUGGAGCCAGGGCUCUUCGCAGGCAGCGGUUCCCGGUGCAUGGGGGACAAAGCGACAGCUGCUGCUCCCGCUGCCUGCUGCUGCGUGGGGGCGGCCCCGCCUACCUCUGCCCCCAGCUGCGUGUGGUGAGGAGGAGGAUGACGACCCCGGCCCAGGGUGUCUCACGCCUCUUCUGAGCCCCUGAGCCGUUUGCUCCCGGCCGCCCGUGGCAUUUUGGAUGCUUUUUGCAGCGGCCGCCGCCCCGCGCCCGCAGCGCCAUGCACACCGUGCAGAAGGACACUACCUUCACCAAGAUCUUCGUCGGGGGGCUGCCCUACCACACCACCGACUCCUCCCUGAGGAAGUACUUCGAGGUGUUCGGGGACAUCGAGGAAGCGGUGGUGAUCACCGACCGGCAGACGGGCAAAUCCCGGGGAUAUGGUUUUGUGACCAUGGCAGACAGAGCUGCAGCUGAGAGAGCGUGCAAAGAUCCCAACCCCAUCAUUGAUGGCAGAAAAGCAAAUGUGAACCUGGCAUAUCUGGGAGCAAAACCAAGGAGUAUUCAAACUGGUUUUACUAUAGGUGUGCAGCAGCUACAUCCAGCCUUUAUUCAGCGACCAUAUGGGCUCACCCCUCACUAUAUUUACCCUCAAGCUAUCGUUCAGCCUAGCGUGGUCAUCCCCACCCCCGUGCAGUCUAUCACAUCUCCCUACAUAGACUACACCUCUGCGAGCCAAGCCUACUCCCAGUACACCACCGCUGCCUACGACCAGUACCCCUACGCCGCCUCUCCUGCUGCUGGGUUUGUGGGAUACGGCUACACGAGCGCAGUUCAGCAGCCCAUCACAGCUAGCAAUCCGGCGGCGCACACCACGGCUUUUGUUCAGUAUCAGCCCCAACAGCUGCAGCCUGACCGAAUGCAGUAAGGGCCCUGCCCAUGCGUUCGCCAUGUAGAACAAUCUUUUACAGUGGAAGGAUACAAACAAAAAAAGCAGAAAACAAAACCACCCAACCUUACUAGGUGCAUACGAAUACCUAAGCUAUUUAUAGUGUUAAGGACGAACCUAAACCCUUGCUGUCUGACUACGCUCAUGGAAAAGGACUUCCGGUAAGUUUUCUUUCAGUCAGGGCAAAUAUUGUCUUGAAGAUGGACUUAAAUUGACUGAAAUGUUAAAAGGAAAACUACAAUUUCUUGCACACUUAGUGAUCUGCUUCCAUUACCUGUCAUCUUCUCACUCCCCCUCCUUCUCCCUUGCCCCAUCCAUCAGUUGUUUCCUACUCCCCUUCCCCUCCCGAAAUCAGAUCUGCAAUCCUCUCAUUUACUGUUGAGGUAUACAAGGUACUCGGAGAACAUGGAUAAAAAGCAAUCGUAUUUUUUGGUUGUACAAAAACUUUGUAAUACUCAGAGAUGCCUUACAGAAAAAAGAAGAAAACUAUUUUUUAAUAUUUAUUGCGAUUUUAUGCGCAUGAGCUGUGAAUUGCAGACAGAAGAAUAGUAUCACUGCAGCUCCCCGCAGACCGUUGAAAAUUCGGACCCCAGAUUCACACGGACAGCAUCCUCCUUCCAACCAUAACUGCUAUCAGUAGGGAUGUGUAAUAGAUGAAAUGCCAGAGAGAAAUGAUUUCAUGCUGCCUCGCUCCUGCAUCGACUGCCAUGCGUCGUUACAGGGCAGAGUCCUGGCUUGGUACAUGAGAAACUCCCAGCCUUUCAUGGUCCUGAAUUGAUAUGAGGAUACUCACGUUGUCUGGAAACCAGGCUGAGUCAGCAAAAUCGCUCCCUGCACCUGCAAACUGGGAUCUGCGGUCUGAAUCCUCCAGUGCAAGAGAGAAUCAUUUCACUCGAAUGCUAACAACAAGACAGCCGGAGCCUAUUCUGAGCCCGUGGAGCCAUCUGGUUCGUUUGCAUACCUGCAGAAAUUUUCCUAAAGACCAGGCCAGCUGAGCAAAGUUCUGAGCAUCAGGAAAAAAAGAUGGGAUGCUUUUUAUUCUACCAUUUAGCUCCCUGUAACAGAAAGCAUUGGAGUCAGUGGAGUCUUGACCCCUGCCACAUGACAUUACUUCCUGGCCCCAGCCAAAAGCAAAUGCAACCAGUCUCCCUUGCCAGCACUCCUGUGUGUCACAUCUUCAUUAUACCCAAAACCUGCUUGAUGAAACAGCCCCAGAAAAGGACAAUGGAACAGACCUGGGGCUGAUUAAACUGGGCUUAGCUCUUCCACAUAAUGAAUGAAAAUCGUUGGACUUUAUCUCCUUCCUAUAAUUAGAAGUGGACAUACUGAAUUAACCCCCCAAGUCUGGUAUGUUUUGAUACCCUUCCAUUGCGCUCCUUCGUUGUUACUUCCUGCUGAUUCAUGGAUACUUAAUAAUGAUUUUAAUAUUGAGUGUUGGUGAAAAGUGCUGCAUUAGCACCCCUGGAGCCUCAAGGCCACUGUCUAUGGACUCACUUCUGCCUUGAUGCCCAAAAGACAUGGAAACAAAUCACACAGAAUCCAUCACUCCAAGUUCCUCCUGCCGCUGGUCUUCCCAAUGUCCAUCUUCUCAGUUUGUAAAUUUGAGACUGUGCACAUUCUGGGGCAGGAGCAACCUUCAUUUUGUGCCACGUAAGCUCCAAGUAUAUUGCCAGUGCUUAAAAACAAUAAGUGAGAGUACCUAGUGGGUAUAGCACACAGUACAAACUUCAUCUUGUUCUCCAUGGCACCUCUCCCUCAGCCUUCAGAGGCAACCUCUAGACAUGAGGAAGGUAGUUCAGACUCUGUUCCCAUUCAGUCUUUGGCCUCUCUGCUGACACUGCCAAAUAGUACAAACCAUGGUGAUAGCCAUUGUGAAGCCACCAAACCAGUUCUGCCUGGGGCACUGUAUUGCCACCAGAUUGUGACAACAUUCAGUUACUACCAACCCAGGCUGGAUUCCAAUCCAGGGCUGCCCGGGGGGGGGGGGGCAAGUGGGGGC